rfam:Corynebacterium epidermidicanis strain DSM 45586, complete genome.
ACUCAGGCACGAUCGGUAGUCCCAUUAAGUGCUACGCAGAAGCGACCUGAAGUUCAAUCCUGAGGGA